GGAAAAUGCUGAGUGGUCAAAACUCGCAUUGUAUGCGAGAGGCGGGUGUCCAGCCUAAGCCUGGUUACGACAAUAUGGGCUCUCCCCUUUUGUUACCCAUCUGAUCCC